UCAGUCUAUGAACUGGAGGUGGACAC
rnacentral:piRNA from 2 species